rnacentral:lncRNA from 1 species
GUGCUAGGCAACAUUGCAAAUAUGGGGCUGGGACGUGCUUUGUGCGCUCGAGCCUCGGGUCCCAGCUGGUGUCCAUGACAUCCAACUUUUGGACCGUAGUUGGAUGGAUCUUCGAGUAAUCGACAAAAUAAUUUCUGCAAUGCCUUAUUUUUUAAUGACAGAUCUGAGCCUUCUUCUUUUUCUCUUUUCUUUGUUUACUUUAUUAUUCUUUGAUUUAA